UACGUAGGGGGCUAGCGUUGUCCGGAAUCAUUGGGCGUAAAGCGCGUGUAGGCGGCCCGGUAAGUCCGCUGUGAAAGUCGGGGGCUCAACCCUCGAAUGCCGGUGGAUACUGUCGGGCUCGAGUGCGGAAGAGGCGAGUGGAAUUCCUGGUGUAGCGGUGAAAUGCGCAGAUAUCAGGAGGAACACCGAUUGCGAAGGCAGCUCGCUGGGACGGUACUGACGCUGAGACGCGAAAGCGUGGGGAGCGAACAGG
rnacentral:rRNA from 1 species